ensembl:snRNA U6 U6 spliceosomal RNA
GUGCUUGCUUCAGCAGCACAUAUACUAAAAUUGGAAUGAUACAGAGAAGAUUAGUACGGUCUUUGCACAAGGAUAACAUGAAGCAUUCCAUAUUUUU